GAAAAGGCUCGCAAAUUAGACGCGAAAAAAACAUCAUUAAGUGGAGGAAUGAGGGAGAUGCAGUGAAGACUGAGGAGUCUGAAGACAGACGGACUAAGGG